GACGAACGCUGGCGGCGUGCUUAACACAUGCAAGUCGAACGGAAAGGCCCCUUUGGGGGUACUCGAGUGGCGAACGGGUGAGUAACACGUGAGUAACCUGCCCUUGGCUUCGGGAUAACUUCAGGAAACUGGGGCUAAUACCGGAUAGGAAUCCUUGCUGCAUGGUGGGGGUUGGAAAGCUUCGGCGGUUUUGGAUGGACUCGCGGCUUAUCAGCUUGUUGGUGGGGUAGUGGCUUACCAAGGCUUUGACGGGUAGCCGGCCUGAGAGGGCGACCGGCCACAUUGGGACUGAGAUACGGCCCAGACUCCUACGGGAGGCAGCAGUGGGGAAUAUUGCACAAUGGGCGGAAGCCUGAUGCAGCAACGCCGCGUGCGGGAUGACGGCCUUCGGGUUGUAAACCGCUUUCAGCAGGGGCGAAGCUUGUGGUGACGGUACCUGCAGAAGAAGCACCGGCUAACCACGUG
rnacentral:rRNA from 1 species